AUACGGAGGAUGCGAGCGUUAUCCGGAUUUAUUGGGUUUAAAGGGUGCGUAGGCUGUGCGUUAAGUCAGGGGUGAAAUGCCGUCGCUCAACGACGGAGCUGCCCUUGAUACUGGCGUGCUGGAGUACGGAUGCCGUUGGAGGAAUGAGUGGUGUAGCGGUGAAAUGCUUAGAUAUCACUCAGAACACCGAUUGCGAAGGCAUCUGACGAAUCCGUCACUGACGCUGAGGCACGAAAGCGGGGGGAUAGAACAGGAUUAGAUACCCUGGUAUUCCACGCCGUAAACGAUGAUGACUAACCGUCGGCGAUAGACAGCCGGUGGCCAAGCGAAAGCGAUAAGUCAUCCACCUGGGGAGUACGUCGGCAACGAUGAAACUCAAAGGAAUUGACGGGG
rnacentral:rRNA from 1 species